AUGGCGGAGGGAUCUUCCAGGAGUUAUCCCUUCGGGGGAAGCUUGGUGUUGGACGACCCGGACGUCGUCGAGGUGCCGCCGGAGGUCGCCGCUGGAUGGAACUCCGUCAGCCAGAAGCGGAAGCGGGCCCAGGUUGCUCCUCAUGAAAUAAUCGAACUUGAUGCUGAUGAUGAUCAUGACGGAGUUACAAUCAUUGAUGCAAAGACAUCAGAUUACAAGAAUAAACAAGCUGUUGGUCAUCCUGUAAAUUGCUGGAAGAAUGCAAAGAUUGGCUUGGCGGCCGAGGACAUUGCUUGCCCAAGUGCUAUUUCUUCCAAAGUUGUUUAUCCGUGGGAUGCCCUGGGAACUUACCAUGGAGGUCCCAAACUUCCAAUUUAUGGCUUGCCUAUGGAUUUUGCUGGCCCAAGUUCUUUUGCUUCUUAUCCAUGGCAAAGCGUAGGAACUUACCAUACAGGUACAUUGCCUCCGGCUUAUUUUGAUGAUGUUUUGGGGGCAGUUGGAGAGGAACACUACGCUUAUGAUGAAGAUGAUUUCAGUAACUAUAGUUACAACACUCCUCUGAUGGAAAACGAUAGCAGCUUUAACUUGAAUGUGGAUCAUUACGGCUUUCCACCUAGUGUGGGGUUGUAUUUACCAAGGGGACAUGUGGCCCCUGCUGAUUCAACGCAGCAGCGGCAGCAAGUUAAGAUUGUGGAAAGUGGAAUUGAGGAAAAGUAUAAGGCAUUUAAGCAGUUUGAUACUGUUGGUGACCACAGUGAUCACUUUUAUUUGAAGUUUCGGACCGUGAAGAAGCCAUCAAAGGACUGGGUGAAGAGAAUUCAGCAUGAAUGGAAAGUUCUAGGGAAAGAUUUACCAGAUACAAUAUUUGUAAGAGCUUAUGAGGAUAGAAUGGACCUGCUUAGAGCUGUCAUAGUUGGGCCUGCAGGCACUCCUUACCAUGACGGGUUGUUCUUUUUUGAUGUCUAUUUCCCUUCCCAGUAUCCAUGUAAACCUCCUCAAGUGAAUUACCGCUCUGGAGGUCUGCGGCUUAAUCCAAAUCUCUAUGCCUGUGGGAAAGUCUGCCUUAGCCUCUUAAACACAUGGACUGGUAGUGGGUGUGAGAUGUGGAACCCAUCCACUUCAACUAUGUUGCAGGUCCUGGUCUCCAUUCAAGCCUUGGUGCUGAAUGCUAAACCUUAUUUCAAUGAACCUGGUCAUUCGAUGUAUGCUAACACACCCCUUGGGGAGAAGCAGUCCCUGGCUUAUAAUGAAGAGACUUUUCUGCUAUCCUGUAGAACCAUGCUGUAUUCUCUUCGCAAUCCACCAAAGCAUUUUGAGCACUUCAUUGGUGGACAUUUCCGGAAGUAUGGGCGUGACAUCCUCGUAGGAUGCAAAGCUUACAUGGGCGGUGCCCAAGUUGGAUGCCUUGCUGGAGACGGAGUGCAAGAUGUCGACGAGGGUGACAAAAGCUGCUCACAAAAUUUCAAGUGCUCGCUAGAGAUAUUAUUUAAGGGUCUCAUUAACGAAUUCACUGAUUUAGGAGUAGCUUGUCAUGAAUUCCAGGCCCAGAUUGUGAACUCUGGAGCUGCAGCAGACACCACAUUAAGGCUAUAA
rnacentral:rRNA from 1 species